GACGAACGCUGGCGGCGUGCUUAACACAUGCAAGUCGAACGGAAAGGCCCUGCUUUUGUGGGGUGCUCGAGUGGCGAACGGGGGAGUAACACGUGAGUAACCUGCCCUUGGCUUUGGGAUAACUUCAGGAAACUGGGGCUAAUACCGGAUAGGAGCUCCUGCUGCAUGGUGGGGGGUGGAAAGUUUCGGCGGUUGGGGAUGGACUCGCGGCUUAUCAGCUUGUUGGUGGGGUAGUGGCUUACCAAGGCUUUGACGGGUAGCCGGCCUGAGAGGGUGACCGGCCACAUUGGGACUGAGAUACGGCCCAGACUCCUACGGGAGGCAGCAGUGGGGAAUAUUGCACAAUGGGCGGAAGCCUGAUGCAGCAACGCCGCGUGCGGGAUGACGGCCUUCGGGUUGUAAACCGCUUUCGCCUGUGACGAAGCGUGAGUGACGGUAAUGGGUAAAGAAGCACCGGCUAACUACGUG
rnacentral:rRNA from 1 species